GACGAACGCUGGCGGCGUGCUUAACACAUGCAAGUCGAACGGUGAAGGGGCCUGCUUUUGUGGGCCCUGGAUGAGUGGCGAACGGGUGAGUAACACGUGAGUAACCUGCCCCCUUCUUCUGGAUAACCGCAUGAAAGUGUGGCUAAUACGGGAUAUUCUGGGUCUGUCGCAUGAUGGGUCUGGGAAAGAUUGCGCCUUUGGGUGUUUUUGGUGGGGGAUGGGCUCGCGGCCUAUCAGCUUGUUGGUGGGGUGAUGGCCUACCAAGGCGGUGACGGGUAGCCGGCCUGGGAGGGUGGACGGUCACACUGGGACUGAGACACGGCCCAGACUCCUACGGGAGGCAGCAGUGGGGAAUAUUGCACAAUGGGCGCAAGCCUGAUGCAGCGACGCCGCGUGAGGGAGGGAGGCCUUCGGGUUGUAAACCUCUUUCGCCAGUGAAGCAGGCCUGCUCCUUGUGGGUGGGUUGACGGUAGCUGGAUAAGAAGCGCCGGCUAACUACGUG
rnacentral:rRNA from 1 species